rnacentral:rRNA from 1 species
AUACGGAGGAUCCGAGCGUUAUCCGGAUUUAUUGGGUUUAAAGGGAGCGUAGGCGGACGCUUAAGUCAGUUGUGAAAGUUUGCGGCUCAACCGUAAAAUUGCAGUUGAUACUGGGUGUCUUGAGUACAGUAGAGGCAGGCGGAAUUCGUGGUGUAGCGGUGAAAUGCUUAGAGAUCACGAAGAACUCCGAUUGCGAAGGCAGCCUGCUGGACUGUAACUGACGCUGAUGCUCGAAAGUGUGGGUAUCAAACAGGAUUAGAUACCCUGGUAGUCCACACAGUAAACGAUGAAUACUCGCUGUUUGCGAUAUACAGUAAGCGGCCAAGCGAAAGCGUUAAGUAUUCCACCUGGGGAGUACGCCGGCAACGGUGAAACUCAAAUGAAUUGACGGGG